AAACCCUACCUCUGUCCUGAGUGUGGCAAAGGUUUUGUUGAUGCACCUCUGAACCCAUCAGGGCGAACAAACUAAGCCACCACCACCAUCUACUCUCUUAUGGCCCCAUAAUCCACCUGGUUCUGUACCCAUAAUCCCUCAGUCUUGAGUGUGGGGCCAGCCCUCUGGACCCAGCCGGCUUCAUGUGUGUGGCUUCUGUGGGAAACAGUUCCCCCAGAGCUCAGAUUUAGUCAAACACCCGAGUACACGUACAGGGGAGAAGCCAUACACAUGUGCAGAGUGUGUAGCAAGGGCUUCGGUGACAGCUGUGCUUGAAUAAAGCACCAGCAUGGGCAUCUGGCCUUAAGGACCUUUGGAGUAGGGGAUGGUCGGCCAAGGUCCCUUCAGGAGGAGUCACUAGCUGGAAUGAAGUGA
rnacentral:lncRNA from 1 species